AUUCCUUUUAAGUAGAACUUCACAGGAGUGACAGGGGCCCGGGACAAUCUGUUUUGUCAUUUCCAAAAAAGAAGCCUCUCAAAGUCUUCGAAGCUGGUUAGCUUCAGACACGUAUUUGCCUUCUGGAAAUUCGUACUUGAGCAUAUCCUAAUCUGUGUCAUCUUAACCAUCUCCUUCUAUAUUGAUCUCCACCUCAAUGACUGGUGCCACAGCCACCAAAUUGUCCAAGUACCGUGACUAAGAAGCACAGAAAAAUUUGGGGAGUCGUGACUUGAAACUGUUUUUUUCCUGAUCUGGAAGAUUGUGG